UACGUAGGCAGCAAGCGUUGUUCGGAAUUACUGGGCGUAAAGAGUGUGUAGGCGGUUUUCUAAGUUUGGUGUGAAAUCUCCCGGCUUAACUGGGAGGGUGCGCUACAAACUGUCUGACUAGAGUGCGGGAUGGGAAAGUGGAAUUCCUGGUGUAGCGGUGAAAUGCGUAGAUAUCAGGAGGAACACCGGUGGUGUAGACGGCUUUCUGGACCGUAACUGACGCUGAAACACGAAAGCGUGGGUAGCAAACAGG
rnacentral:rRNA from 1 species